rnacentral:rRNA from 1 species
GUGGGGAAUAUUGCGCAAUGGGGGAAACCCUGACGCAGCAACGCCGCGUGAAGGAUGAAGGCUUUCGGGUUGUAAACUUCUUUAGUCGGGGACGAAUGGAUGACGGUACCCGAAGAAUAAGCCACGGCUAACUACGUGCCAGCAGCCGCGGUAAUACGUAGGUGGCAAGCGUUGUCCGGAAUUACUGGGUGUAAAGGGCGUGUAGGCGGGUUAUUAAGUCAGAUGUGAAAUUCCAGAGCUCAACUCUGGCGCUGCAUCUGAAACUGAUGAUCUUGAGUACUGGAGAGGGAAGCGGAAUUCCUAGUGUAGCGGUGAAAUGCGUAGAUAUUAGGAGGAACACCAGUGGCGAAGGCGGCUUUCUGGACAGUAACUGACGCUGAGGCGCGAAAGCGUGGGGAGCGAACAGGAUUAGAAACCCCGGUAGUCC